UGCAUGGCUGUCGUCAGCUCGUGUCGUGAGAUGUUGGGUUAAGUCCGUAACCGAGCGCAACCCUUGUCCUUAGUUACCAGCACGUUAUGGUGGGCGACUCUAAGGAGACUGCCGGUGACAAACCGGAGGAAGGUGGGGAGUGACGUCAAGUCAUCAUGGCCCUUACGGCCUGGGCUACACACGUGCUACAAUGGUCGGUACAAAGGGUUGCCAAGCCGCGAGGUGGAGCUAAUCCCAUAAAACCGAUCGUAGUCCGGAUCGCAGUCUGCAACUCGACUGCGUGAAGUCGGAAUCGCUAGUAAUCGUGAAUCAGAAUGUCACGGUGAAUACGUUCCCGGGCCUU
rnacentral:rRNA from 1 species